ACCAUUAAGGUUCAAAAAGGAAAAAUGCAUCUCAAUUUACAAGUCAUUAAGAAAAGAAAAGAAAAGGAGUGAUCUUUUCUAGCUCAUUUUUCGAGAACAAAAUCCAAAGAAGCCAUUAAAGAAAUUGACCAAGAACCCAGAUUUUAUCACCAAAAUCCAGCUGAAACCACAGAAGGAAAUCCACAAACAAAAAGUUCACCUUCAAGUUCCUGAUUCCAAAUCAGAAUCUAAAAAAUACCCAUCAACAGAUCAAUUCAAAGCUCCAAGCUCUGACCAAAAUAAUUAAAAUUUGGCACUUCAGAAAGAAUCAACAUCAAUAAUCCAUUAACCCCAGAAAUUAAAAAAAAAGAGGUUAAACCUACUUUAAAAUGAAUCCCUUCUUUAUUUUCCACAUAACUACAGAGAAUAUAUUAUACAAAAUAAAGAAAUAAAUAAAAGUGGAUUAUCAAUCAAAUGAAAUGAAACUUCCAUACCAUGUCUUGGAACUUUGUAUGGAAGGGGAAUUUAUGGCUGUCAUGUGAAAGAGUAUUAUUAAAA
rnacentral:lncRNA from 1 species